rnacentral:rRNA from 1 species
UACAGAGGGUGCGAGCGUUAAUCGGAAUUACUGGCGUAAAGCGCACGUAGGCGGCUUGGUAUGUCGGGUGUGAAAUCCCCGGGCUCAACCUGGGAACUGCAUCCGAAACUGCCUUGCUCGAGUAUGGGAGAGGGAAGUGGAAUUUCCGGUGUAGCGGUGAAAUGCGUAGAUAUCGGAAGGAACAUCAGUGGCGAAGGCGACUUCCUGGACCAAUACUGACGCUCAGGUGCGAAAGCG